UACGUAGGGUGCGAGCGUUGUCCGGAUUUAUUGGGCGUAAAGAGCUCGUAGGUGGUUGUUUGCGUCGGAAGUGAAAACCUAGCGCUUAACGGUGGGCUUGCUUUCGAUACGGGAUGACUUGAGGGAGGUAGGGGAGAACGGAAUUCCUGGUGGAGCGGUGGAAUGCGCAGAUAUCAGGAGGAACACCGGUGGCGAAGGCGGUUCUCUGGACCUUUCCUGACGCUGAGGAGCGAAAGCGUGGGGAGCAAACAGGCUUAGAAACCCUUGUAGUCC
rnacentral:rRNA from 1 species